rnacentral:rRNA from 1 species
AGCUUGCUAAGGGGAUUAGUGGCGCACGGGUGAGUAAUAUAUAGAUAACGUGCCUCUUAGUCUGGGAUAGCCAUUGGAAACGAUGAUUAAUACUAGAUACUCCUUCUCUUUAUAAUUAGAGUCGGGAAAGUUUUUCGCUAAGAGAUCGGUCUAUAUCCCAUCAGUUAGUUGGUAGGGUAAUGGCCUACCAAGGCAAUGACGGGUAGCGGGUUUGAGAGGAUGAUCCGCCACACUGGUACUGAGACACGGACCAGACUCCUACGGGAGGCAGCAGUGAGGAAUAUUGCACAAUGGAGGAAACUCUGAUGCAGCAACGCCGCGUGGAGGAUGACGCAUUUCGGUGUGUAAACUCCUUUUAUAAGGGAAGAAAAUGACGGUACCUUAUGAAUAAGCACCGGCUAACUCCGUGCCAGCAGCCGCGGUAAUACGGAGGGUGCAAGCGUUACUCGGAAUCACUGGCCGUC